rnacentral:rRNA from 1 species
ACUCCUGCCGGGAGGCAGCAGUGGGGAAUAUUGGACAAUGGGCGCAAGCCUGAUCCAGCCAUGCCGCGUGAGUGAUGAAGGCCCUAGGGUUGUAAAGCUCUUUCACCGGUGAAGAUAAUGACGGUAACCGGAGAAGAAGCCCCGGCUAACUUCGUGCCAGCAGCCGCGGUAAUACGAAGGGGGCUAGCGUUGUUCGGAUUUACUGGGCGUAAAGCGCACGUAGGCGGACUAUUAAGUCAGGGGUGAAAUCCCGGGGCUCAACCCCGGAACUGCCUUUGAUACUGGUAGUCUUGAGUUCGAGAGAGGUGAGUGGAAUUCCGAGUGUAGAGGUGAAAUUCGUAGAUAUUCGGAGGAACACCAGUGGCGAAGGCGGCUCACUGGCUCGAUACUGACGCUGAGGUGCGAAAGCGUGGGGAGCAAACAGGAUUAGAUACCCCUGUAGUCCC